rnacentral:rRNA from 1 species
AGAAUGAACGCUAGCGAUAUGCUUAACACAUGCAAGUUGAACGUUGUUUUCGAAUCAGAAUGAGAACAAAGUAGCGAACGGGUGCGUAACACGUGGGAAUCUGCCGAACAGUUUGGGCCAAAUCCCGAAUGAAUAAAAGCUAAAAAGCGCUGUUUGAUGAGCCCACGUAGUAUUAGGUAGUUGGUUAGGUAAAAGCUGACCAAGCCUACGAUGCUUAGCUGGUCUUUUCGGAUGAUCAGCCACACUGGGACUGAGACACGGCCCAGACUCCUACGGGAGGCAGCAGUGGGGAAUCUUGGACAAUGGGCGAAGGCCUGAUCCGGCAAUAUGGCGUGAGUGAAGAAGGGCAACGCAGCUUGUAAAGCUCUUUCAUCGAGUGUGCGAUUGUGACAAGACUCGAAUAAGAACGCCCGGCUAACUCCGCGCCAGCAGCCGC